GGAAAAGCGCCUGGUGUUUGUUCAGGUCAAACAGGUGCAGCAGCUUCCGUGGGAGGAGGUGAGGAAAAGUGUCCCUGGUCAGGAGGGUCACACUCCCACAGGCUUGCAGGGGGCGGCGGGGGGGGGGUGGUAGCCUCACCGAGGUCCGGAACUCAGGCCCCCCAGCUGGGGACAGGCCCUCAGGGAGGACUGGGAGAAGGAUGCUUACGACGGGAAUCAAGGCAGGUGCCUACACGCAUCCAUGUGGACACACAUGUGAAUGGUCUUUUUUUUUUUUUUUUUUAAGCUCAUGGAAAAAACCGGAUGGAAAUGUGAGUGAUUGUGUUUGCUUCAUAGAACUAUACUUGAACUUCUUAAAAUGUGAUUUGUUUUUUAAUGUUUAUUUAUUAAAAAAAUUUUUUUUAAAUGUUUAUUUUAUUUUUGAGAGGGAGACAGAGUGCGAGCCGGGGAGGGGCAGAGAGAGAGGGAGACACAGAGUCGGAAGCAGGCUCCAGGCUCCGAGCGGUCAGCACAGAGCCCGACGCGGGGCUCGAACCCAUGAACUGGGGGAUCAUGCCCUGAGCCGAAGUCAGACGCUCAACCGACUGAGCCACCCAGGCGGCCCAGAGCAUAUGUGGGUUUUUUAUUUUUUUUUAUUUUUUAUUUUUUUAAUUUUUUUUUCAACGUUUAUUUAUUUUUGGGACAGAGAGAGACAGAGCAUGAACGGGGGAGGGGCAGAGAGAGAGAGAGACACAGAAUCGGAAACAGGCUCCAGGCUCCGAGCCAUCAGCCCAGAGCCUGACGCGGGGCUCGAACUCACGGACCGCGAGAUCGUGACCCGGCUGAAGUCGGACGCUCAACCGACUGCGCCACCCAGGCGCCCCAUAUGUGGGUUUUUUAAACGGGAGAAAGCAGACGUGUUUGCAUGUCUGUUCAAUUCCCAGUCAAAGGUGUCUUUCCAGCCCUACCCUCCUAGUAUUUGACCCUAUUGGGUGAAUUCCUUUUCUGAAGCUGUUUUCUCGCUGGCCUUUCAGCCUGCCACUUCUCUCCUGGCUUUUCUUCCCGUCUUGGAUGACUGCCCACCCCCUACGGUUGAUGUUUUUCGGGGUCUGUCCCCACCGUUUCCAUCUCCCCUGCCCAGGCUGGUGCCCUCGCCGUGCGGUUUCAGCGAGACCGCCCUAUGUCAACAAUGACUUUCGUCUCCGGCCCAGCCCUUUGCCGACACAUUUCUCCCACUGCCUACUGACUGUCCCCACGAGUCCCUCAGAGUCAGCAUGCUUAAAGCUGAAAUUCCCUCCCCGCAAGCCCCUCUUUCUUCUGUGUUGUCUACCUUGGUGGCCUGGGUCAGAACCCUAGUACUUAUCCUUCCCUACCUUCUGGGAGUGGGUUGAAUGGUGCCCCCUCCCCCGAAAAGAGACGUCCAUGGCCCAGAACCUGUGACCGUUACCUUAUAUAGCUAGAGAGCACCGCCUUAUAUGACAAAAGAUGUGAUUAUCUUUUACCUUGGAUUAUCCAGGUGCCCCCUAAAUCCAGUGACAAGUGUCCUUAAGAGACGGACAGAGAACACACACUGAGGAGGUAUUGUGACCACGGAGGCAGAGAUUGGAGUGAAGCCACAAGUCGAGGAAUGCCAACAGCCACUGAAAGAACGGACUGUCUCCUACAGCCUCUGGGAGGAGCGUGGCCCUGCCCACACCACCUUGGGUUUGCACAUCUGAGGGCUUCCAGAACCUGAACUGUGAGAGAAUAACUUUCUGUUGCUUGAAGGCACCCGAUUCGCGUUCAUUUGUUAUGGCGGCCCUAGCAAAUAGGCCCUCAUUCUUUGGCAUCUAAUGGGUCACAAAAAUCCUGCUGGUUUCAACUCCUUAAGUAGCUCUAGUUUGGGGGGCGCCUGGGUGGCUCAGUGGGUUAAGCAUCUGAUUUCAUAUCGGGUCAUGAUCUCGCCGUUUGUGAGUUCGAGCCCCGCGUCGGGCUCGGUGCGGACAGCUCGGAGCCUG
rnacentral:lncRNA from 1 species